rnacentral:lncRNA from 1 species
CUCUUCUCCUCUUUCCUUCCUCCUCUCUUUGGAAUUAAGUGUGCAAAAGGUGUAUUGGUGUCUAAUAUUGUGAACGGAAAAGAAAGGGAAGGAUGGAGGGGGGAUCCUUGAGACUCAAGCAGAGCUGAUUGUCUCCUCUGCAUCUUCUCAGGAGCUCACAGGCUUCCUGCUCAUUGUACUCAAGGGAGAGCAGGAAAGAGCAGGGUGCUGUCUGUCUGUCUGUGGUUGAUCUGAGGGUCUAGUGCUGAGGGAGAGAAACUUGUCACAGAGCCUGGCACUUUCCAGAAGAAUUCCCUUAAAUCCCUGCCCCCAACUCCAACUCUAACUUCAGCCAGAGAGAGAGGAGAGAGAGAGAGGACAGAGAGAGGAGAGAGAGAGAGGCAGGAAGCAGACAGCCUGUUCUGGAGUCGCAUUUCCAGACUGACCUCUGCCUUUUCCACACACAUUCUGGCACUCACCUGCGGCAGUCAGGCUUUGAGCCAGGCUCGGGAGACUCCACUUCGUAGCCUCACAUUCAGCCCUACACCCCGUGGGCCUUGGGCCAGGCAACCAGAGUCACUUUCCAGGCACUGGGGGAGGCUGCACAAUAAGGAAGAGCUAAACAGGCUGAGGUUCUGAAUUGAUCUCCCUAGGAGAAUUUUAUCCCUCUUCAUCCUUCUUGGACACUACAGUCAAGUUCUUUCUUAGUUCUCUUGGACCAUUCUGAUUCUAGAAGGACUGACCACCCUGCUACAAUAGAUUGGAGAAUCCCUCAGAUCAGCAGGCCUGAGUAAAACCUCACUGCCAUCAAAGCACCAAAAAUGUGGGCAAAGAUAGCUUGGACUCUACCAGACCAUCUGCCAGCUGACACCAUUGAGUAACAUCCAUUGAUAUUGUGAGGAAGAAAUAAAUCAUCCAGCAGAUCUUGCCCCAAGUGCCCAACCCACAAAAUUGGGCAGGGG